rnacentral:rRNA from 1 species
UACGUAGGGCGCAAGCGUUGUCCGGAAUUAUUGGGCGUAAAGAGCUCGUAGGCGGCCUGUUGCGUCCGCUGUGAAAUCCCGGGGCUCAACCCCGGGCCUGCAGUGGAUACGGGCUGGCUGGAGGCAGGCAGGGGAGAACGGAAUUCCUGGUGUAGCGGUGAAAUGCGCAGAUAUCAGGAGGAACACCGAUUGCGAAGGCAGCUCGCUGGGACGUCACUGACGCUGAGACGCGAAAGCGUGGGGAGCAAACAGG